UUUCUCCGUUUUGUCCAUGAUUCACAAGAAAAUCUCUGCUUGUUUUGUUCGACGAUGCCUGUGAUUACAGCAUCAUGCGCCCUUGGGAUUAUUGUGGUGUCAUCUCGUUGGGACGGAAGUUUCCAUCACCGCGUAACUGCUCUGCUGCGAAGGGCCUGCCGCGUGUGUACUCUGGCAACGGUCUCUAUUCACCAGGAGACCUUAAUUCGUUACACCAGCAUCAGCAGCCACAACCACGCCAAGGCCUCGCCAGGUUGCAGCGCAAGCCUCCAGACUGCAAAUGAACGCUUCUUGGGUCUCUACUUUGCCUUCAAUUCCAAGUAGCGGAAUCUUUCAUCGCAUGCAGCAACCCGGAAUCGCCACUCCCUGUUCAAAUAUACUCACGGCAAAAUUUGAUUUGCAUGAGCAGCAUGGGUCCCAUGUGGAGAUAGCUACUUUUAAGUGACAGUCUGAAAAAAAUUUAGAUAGAGCUUUGUUGGGAGCCCUCGAACUGGCGCAUGAAGGCGCAUGAAGGCGCCAGUUGGUAAACGAACGGACCGAGAGGCUAAUGUCCAUUGGUUGGGUCGCGGAAUCCUAAAGCAGACUUGGGUCAGCAUGUCCUUACUCAUCAUCUGGUCCAAUAUUGGGGCUCCACUUCCUAUUCUCAGGAAUUGCUGCAUAUCUAAGCAGGUUCAACACAGCCUUAUUUGGGCUUCAAAACAUCUAUUCUGGCUGAUCUCCCAGUCAUCUCCGACUCAAUCAAUCCUUCUAUGUUGCCAACUCAGAGGUACAGCUUCGCUCAUGGGAUCAACAAGCGAUGAGAAUUGGUUGACGGAUAUGUGGUCAAUGUACCCCACAUUGACUCCUCAGCUGCUGUUUAUUCUCCGAAUGUCCAAAUUUAGGUCACGAAUCAGUUGGCCUUUCUCCCUCAGCAUGCUUUCUGUGUGAAAGAUGGUGGUGAAUUCCUCAAGGAGCACUUAAUUCAAGGCUUUCUGGAUACUGCGUCGAACUUCUUCCUGACAACAGCGGAAACAAUCCAGCCGAACCUAAUCUCUCUCUCUCUCUCUCUCUCUCUCUCCAUCUUACCCGGUUGCUCAUAUCCACAUCGUUGCGGCUUCAACUUCAACGAAGCUGUGGCAGACGUGCGAAACCGUAUUGAAUGUGGUGUAGACGUCGGAAACCAUUCCUGGGUUCCAGUAUGCAGGUCUUAAUGAGCUCGCCACUCGCAAUCUAGACUGUUAAACCGACUGAUCUAUUCGAAUAUUCGAAGAUUAAGCAACACGCGUUGCUUCAUCGUCUGUGCAAGAGUGAUGACCCGCGGAGCUUCGAAUCCAACUUCUGGUACAGUAUCAGAACUCUGACACUGUCAACUGAAACUGGGUUCUAUUUCUCCCCUUUUUGUGGCAUUAUCUGAUUGUGGGGUAGUUUAUGAGGUUUGGAACGUGAGCUCCGUCAUGUGUGGUUUCUCAUUAUGAUAGCUGAACUAAUCAAUGUCACAUAUUUAAUUAGAGCAGUAGAAUUCUCAUAAAUAAAAAAUAAUAACUCAUGGUUGAACUAAUUUUUGGUAGUAAAUGUUCAAGUAAUGCUAUAGUUCAUGUUUAUUGUUAAAACGUAGUGAUCGACUUUUGUUAAGUAGGUUCACUUUCCUUUUCAUCCAUAACUACAUUUAUUAAAUUUUGGUUUGAGUAACAAAAUUAGUCCAUCCAAGUUCUGUUCGAACACAAAUUAAGCUCACUUUAUAUGGAACUGUCUAAGAAAAGUGUUAAUUUAUAACCA